CACGCUCGCACCCCGAAGACUGGGGCAGACGUCCGGCGGUGUCGGUGUGGAGAUUAAGAACAAGGUGCAGACAGUGCGAGGAAGAAGAGGGUUACCUGCAGUUUUGGGCAGGAAGCCUGAUUUAGAGCCUGAAAUCACAGAUUAUAUGGAAGAUUUCAUACUGGACACAAGGAGAAG